ACGGCUCAGUAACACGUGGACAACCUACCCUAAGGAGGGGGAUAACCCCGGGAAACUGGGGAUAAUACCCCAUAGACUAGAGAAGCUGGAAUGCUCUCAAGUCCAAAGGUCCGCCGCCUUAGGAUGGGUCUGCGGUCGAUUAGGUUGUUGUUGGGGUAACGGCCCAACAAGCCCGUGAUCGAUACGGGUUGUGAGAGCAAGAGCCCGGAGAUGGAUUCUGAGACACGAAUCCAGGCCCUACGGGGCGCAGCAGGCGCGAAAACUUUACAAUGCGGGAAACCGUGAUAAGGGAACCCCGAGUGCCCCGUAAAUUCGGGCUGUCCAUCAGCGUAAAUAACUGGUGAAGAAAGGGCCGGGCAAGACCGGUGCCAGCCGCCGCGGUAAUACCGGCGGCUCGAGUGGUGGCCACUAUUAUUGGGCUUAAAGCGUCCGUAGCUUGGUUGUUAAGUCUCUUGGGAAAUCUACCGGCUCAACCGGUAGGCGUUCAGGAGAUACUGGCAAUCUAGGGACCGGGAGAGGUGAGAGGUACUCCAGGGGUAGGAGUGAAAUCCUGUAAUCCUUGGGGGACCACCUGUGGCGAAGGCGUCUCACUAGAACGGCUCCGACAGUGAGGGACGAAAGCUGGGGGAGCAAACCGGAUUAGAUACCCGGGUAGUCCCAGCUGUAAACGAUGCGCGUUAGGUGUAUCGGUGACCACGAGUCACCGAGGUGCCGAAGGGAAACCGUGAAACGUGCCGCCUGGGAAGUACGGUCGCAAGGCUGAAACUUAAAGGAAUUGGCGGGGGAGCAC
rnacentral:rRNA from 1 species